ACUAUUUUGGCAGAAAAAAGUGUAAUGAAUUUAGAAUUCAUAAAUGUGAUUGUAACACAAAUAGUA
rnacentral:tRNA from 1 species